GAAAAUACUGAAAGGUUGUGAGAUUAGCACACCUGAGGAGCAUCAUCCAACAUCCACUGUUCAGAAAGCCAUCAGUUCCUCUGCUAAGAAGGGGUAAAAAUGAGCCAACUCACAGAACUAGUUCUCCUUACAGUCUUCUUGGCACUCUUCAGUCAAGCUGAAGCGAGUAAGACAGAAAAGUUUCUUCCUUUCUUAUAUCGCUAUUCAAUGUGUAAUCUUGCCAGUCUCAUGCAUUGACAACAUUAAGAUCUAUGGCUGCAUUUUGCUGUUUUCAAUUGCAGUCUAAGUUUUCUCCUCUUUUUUGCCUUUGCAGAUCCUUUUGUUUAUAACUAUGAGGCGCUAAGGAUCGGGGGUUUGGUCUUCACAGGCGUACUAGUAGCUGGAGGGGUUGGAAUUCUGUGUCGGGGGCAGUGCAAACCAAAAAGAAAGCAUGUUGAAGACGCGAGCAAAAUCUGAGGAUCAGGGACUUCAUCUGCUGAAACUUUCUAAUGGGUUUUUAAUUGAGUAGAAGACUGUUUUAUUCUUAGUCUUGAUACUAACUACUGAUGACUAACUAGCUCCACGUCUCAUCUGUAUUUUACUGUAGGUUUUCCAUAGUUUCAACAUUUUUCAACCACUUAAUUUGUGCAUUAAUCACAGUCCCUUUCCGAAAAAACUGAGCUUUUGAAUUUGUAGAUUCAUUCUAUAAAUUUGAGCAAUCUCUCAAAGUGGCACUUUACUGUAAUAAAGAUUCUCAGUUAUGGGUCUGCAAAA